AUCUCACUUUUUCUGGGGUAAAGAAAGCUGUAUGAUGAGACUUUGGGGGUAGACAGAAGCAGAAAGGCCUUCAGCUCUUAAAGGAAGAAAAGAAGGUCACUUGCCCUCCUUUUUUUUGCUCCUCAGGGCAGGAAUUGGAUAGUGGGAGACAACUGGAUCCCUGAGUUCAGGCAUCAGGUGUUCACCCAAGGGACUUCCUGGAGGAGCACUGGUAACCUCUCAUGAAACUGGAGUUCCAGAAACACUGGCAAAUACUGCUGCAACACCUUGUCAAAAUGAAAGCUUCCUGAUUCUUCUACCACCACCACGAUAAGCUACAGCAGCAGUCUCCAAACUUUUUGGCACCAGGGACCGGUUUUACAGAAGACAAUUUUUCCACGGACCGGGUGGGAGUGGGGGAAGAGAUGGUUCAGUGGUAAUGUGAGCGAUGGGGGACCAUGGGGAGCAGCCGAUGAAGCUCCACUGUCUGCAGCUCACCUCCUGCUGUGCGGCCCGUUUCCUAACGUGGGGGUUGGGGACCCCCGAGCUACAGGACUGCUGUAUCACUCCUACAAAGGUACCACACCUACCCUUUUACAGUCACCUCCAUCCUCCUCCCCACCCCAUCUAAUUCCUGUCAAUCACUAAUAUGUUCUCAUCUCUAUCAUUUCAAAAAUUCUAGAUAAAUGGAAUCAUCCAGUGUAUCACCUUUUGGAUUGGCUUUUUUUUUUUAAUUCAGCAUAAUUCCCUUGGGAUCUAUCCAAGUUGUUAUAUGUAUCAAUAGUUUGUUCUUUUUUUUGAGAAAUAUUCCAUGGUAUGUGUGUCCCACAGUUUAACCAUUCACCCACUGAAGGAUGUUUCCGUUGUUUCCAGUUUAGGCUAUUACGAAUAAAGCUACUAUAAACAUGCAUGUGCAGAUUUUAUGUGAACAUAAAUUUUCAUUUUUCUGGUAUAAAUGCCUAAGGGUACAAUUGAUGGGUGCAUAAUUAGUUUUAUAAGAAACUGCCGAAGUAUUUUCCAGAGUGGCUGUACGAUUUUACAUCCCUAUCAGCAAAGUAUGUGCGAUAAAUAACAUGCUUUCAAUGUAUUAA